GCAGUCGAGCGGCAGCGGGUCCUUCGGGAUGCCGGCGAGCGGCGGACGGGUGAGUAAUGCAUGGGAAUCUGCCCGGUAGUGGGGGAUAACUCGGGGAAACCCGAGCUAAUACCGCAUACGUCCUACGGGAGAAAGCAGGGGAUCUUCGGACCUUGCGCUAUCGGAUGAGCCCAUGUCGGAUUAGCUUGUUGGUGAGGUAACGGCUCACCAAGGCAACGAUCCGUAGCUGGUCUGAGAGGAUGAUCAGCCACACCGGGACUGAGACACGGCCCGGACUCCUACGGGAGGCAGCAGUGGGGAAUAUUGGACAAUGGGGGAAACCCUGAUCCAGCCAUGCCGCGUGUGUGAAGAAGGCCCUAGGGUUGUAAAGCACUUUCAGUGGGGAAGAAGGCAUGACGAUUAAUACCCGUCAUGAAGGACAUCACCCACAGAAGAAGCACCGGCUAACUCCGUGCCAGCAGCCGCGGUAAUACGGAGGGUGCAAGCGUUAAUCGGAAUUACUGGGCGUAAAGGGCGCGUAGGCGGCUUGCCAAGCCGGAUGUGAAAGCCCCGGGCUCAACCCGGGAACGGCAUUCGGAACUGGCAGGCUAGAGUGCAGGAGAGGAAAGGUGGAAUUCCCGGUGUAGCGGUGAAAUGCGUAGAGAUCGGGAGGAAUACCAGUGGCGAAGCGGCCUUCUGGACUGACACUGACGCU
rnacentral:rRNA from 1 species